CUCAGUGACCAUUGAAUUGCCAGCUGGAACUGUACCUCAGCACCACAGAAGACUCGCCUCUAUUGGCCGUACAAUGUCGGUGUUCAAGGCAUUACCCUUCGUCUUCUUUAUAGUAACACUUGCAAUUAUGCACAGGCACACCCACAGCCAGUUUUUGCAGUACUGCAACAACACGUGUACAAUUUACGAGAACAACAGCCGUACUCCUUGUCCUGGUGGAUGCCAAUGCGCCGUCCAGUCCACUGGAAAGCAUUACGGACCUGGGCUUUGCUGGAAGCUAUGAGGUCACUGGAAACACUUACUCUUCCUCGGAUCCUCCGGAGCUGAAGAAGAAAUAAUACUACUCUUCUUUGUGCAAUAAAUAUACUAGUGACCAGCUUCUCAUGACCAAACAAGAGACUGGCAUUUCGUAUCUGUACGGUAUUUCCGUAAAUGUAUUAUAAAUUCCUACAAAAUUUAGGGAAUAUCCUCCGGAAUGCUUUUAUCUCACCAGAAUACAUUUUAAAACGAUUCGAGAAGCAACUA